CGAAAGCCUGACGGAGCAAGACCGCGUGAGGGAGGAAGGUUUUUGGAUCGUAAACCCCUUUUGUCAAGGAAGAAGCNCUGACGGUACUUGAWGAAUAAGCCUCGGCUAACUCCGUGCCAGCAGCCGCGGUAAUACGGAGGAGGCAAGCGUUAUCCGGAAUGAUUGGGCGUAAAGCGUCUGUAGGUGGCCAAYUAAGUCUGCUGUUAAAGAUCACAGCUCAACUGUGGGUAGGCAGUGGAAACUGGUUAGCUAGAGGCUGGUAGGGGUAAAGGGAAUUCCCGGUGUAGCGGUGAAAUGCGUAGAUAUCGGGAAGAACACCGGUG
rnacentral:rRNA from 1 species